GACGAACGCUGGCGGCGUGCUUAACACAUGCAAGUCGAACGGAAACGCCCUGCUGUUGGGUGGUGCUCGAGUGGCGAACGGGUGAUUAACACGUGAGUAACCUGCCCUGGACUUUGGGAUAACUUCAGGAAACUGGGUCUAAUACCGGAUAUGAGCUCCUGCUGAGUGGUGCGCGUUGGAUAGUUUCGGCGGUUGGGGAUGGACUCGCGGCUUAUCAGCUUGUUGGUGGGGUAGUGGCUUACCACGGCUUUGACGGGUAGCCGGCCUGAGAGGGUGACCAGCCCCAAGGGGACUGAGGGAGGGACCAGACGGCUACGGGAGACAGAGGUGGGGAGUAUUGCACAGUGGGGGGGAGCGUGGUGCGACGACGCCGGGUGUGGGAUGAGGGCUUGUGGGUUGUAAACAGCUUUCGCUUGUGACGCAGCGUGCGUGACGGUAACGGGUGAAGAAGCACCGGCUAACUACGUG
rnacentral:rRNA from 1 species